CAGGAGGUUAACAGCUGUUGAGCUGGAAACAACAUUCAUGGCUAACCUGGACAAACACACAGAUGCACUCCUGUCUUUGUUUCGCACCAAGGGAGGAAAAGCUGGACAGCAAAUUAGUGAAAUUUUGAAUAUGCUAAACCAGACCAGUCCUGUGGAAAAACGUAGAGAAGUUGUACUCCGAUGCUUAAUUGUCUACCUCUCGGAAAAUCCUGAGAAUCUCAUCAAGCAUUAUCAGGAUACUCAUGGGAACGAGGAGGAACUGAAACUGAAACAUUGAACAUCAUCACGAAAGGGGGCUCAACAGAAGAUCCUUUACAGACUGGGAUAGUGCUGGAAGGCAUGGAGGUGAUGACGGGGUUGGCAGGUGUUGCAAAGGCUUGUGUUUUUCUUCUUGGCCUAAUUUAUGCAAUUAAUCUGAGUUACCCCAAAGAGCUCAGAUACUCGUUUGAGUUUUUUCAGAAGAUCCUACUGGAACUUGACAGUGGCAAACUUUCUCCAAAGGUUUACUCUCUGAAGAACAGGCUUUUUUGUUGAAAUGAUGGUGUUCUGACCAUUACGACUCAAAAUAUGUUUGAGUCACAAGACAUCUGGUUCUAGUACAGUGUUAGUCUGCAAACGUUUGAUCGCAGUCUUGUUUUAUUCUCAGGAAGUUUGUUGCAUGUUCCCAAAGUAGAUGUUGGAAUAAUUUGAAUAUUUUAAGAAACUUUGCAAAG